rnacentral:rRNA from 1 species
AAAUUGAAGAGUUUGAUCAUGGCUCAGAUUGAACGCUGGCGGCAGGCCUAACACAUGCAAGUCGAACGGUAACAGAAAGCAGCUUGCUGCUUUGCUGGCGAGUGGCGGACGGGUGAGUAAUGUCUGGGAAACUGCCUGAUGGAGGGGGAUAACUACUGGAAACGGUAGCUAAUACCGCAUAAUGUCGCAAGACCAAAGAGGGGGACCUUCGGGCCUCUUGCCAUCGGAUGUGCCCAGAUGGGAUUAGCUAGUAGGUGGGGUAACGGCUCACCUAGGCGACGAUCCCUAGCUGGUCUGAGAGGAUGACCAGCCACACUGGAACUGAGACACGGUCCAGACUCCUACGGGAGGCAGCAGUGGGGAAUAUUGCACAAUGGGCGCAAGCCUGAUGCAGCCAUGCCGCGUGUAUGAAGAAGGCCUUCGGGUUGUAAAGUACUUUCAGCGGGGAGGAAGGGAGUAAAGUUAAUACCUUUGCUCAUUGACGUUACCCGCAGAA